ensembl:ncRNA lncRNA:CR45021 long non-coding RNA:CR45021
AUUAUGCACAGCAGACCGCGCGGAGCAAGGACGGUGAUUCACACACCCGCGAACGAGUGCACAGGGCAGCAGCUCGGGCUCAUCCUCUUCGGAGCAAUCGAUCUUCACGAAGAACGUGGCCCGUUCGUUGGGGAUGCAGCGGAUCAGGGAACUGGAGUUCUCGCUGAACGUGAUGCGAGGUGGUGGUCGGUGGCCCGCCUCGGGCACCCCAUCCUCGCCAGGAGGCUCUGCAAAGUGGGUAACACGGUGCGUUAAUUAUAAGCAUGAGUAAUCGCUUUAUAAGUUACGAUGCCGCAGGAAACCGUCCGCCAAACAAAUAAUCAUAAAUAUUUGCGAAAUGUCAAGAAUGGCCGAGCAUCCGCGGGCAGACAUGAGCACACAUAUGUAGUUAUGCCGGCAGGGAAAGCAAAGAGUCGGAACUUUAAAGUGAACUCGCAUUCAGGAUACCCUAAUCAGAGUACAUAUAAUCAACUGACUGAUUUCCACAUAAAAAGCAUUUAUUUUAAAUCACUUUUAAAAUAUAAAUGUUUUCUAAUUUGUGAAAUAAAGUGGUUCUCUUUAUACUC